rnacentral:rRNA from 1 species
GCCCGUGACCAAAUCACCCGGAUCACGCUGGAUCUAUUCCAAUCUGGGAAGCUAAUCGGGGUUGAGGCUGGAUAGUGCUUGGAUGGGUGACCGCCACGAAUAAAACGGGCGGUGUAGCUU